rnacentral:lncRNA from 1 species
GCGGUGGAAGAAUGCAAAAUGGCUGUCUAUGCACUGGAGAGCCAGAGGACCCAGCUGAAAGUUGAAGGCCUGGAGCUUGCUACUGUAUCCUGUGUAAGUCCACAUUGGAAAACCAAAGGAAGGGUCUGUGUAGGAAGGCUGAAGAGUCUGCGCUGGAAGCCUAAAGAACUGGAGAUUUAUGUCAAAAGGCAAUGGUCCAGUCCCAGUUUGGAGGUUCAACCUAAUGAGAAUGAAGACCCUACUUAGCAGUUCAGAGCUGCCAUACCUCCC